rnacentral:rRNA from 1 species
AGUCCUACGGGACGCAGCAGUGAGGAAUAUUGGUCAAUGGGCGGGAGCCUGAACCAGCCAAGUCGCGUGAGGGACGACGGUCCUAUGGAUUGUAAACCUCUUUUGUCGGGGAACAAAGGCGUCCACGGGUGGGCGGAUGAGAGUACCCGAAGAAAAAGCAUCGGCUAACUCCGUGCCAGCAGCCGCGGUAAUACGGAGGAUGCGAGCGUUAUCCGGAUUUAUUGGGUUUAAAGGGUGCGUAGGCGGACUGUUAAGUCAGCGGUAAAAGCCCGGGGCUCAACCCCGGCGAGCCGUUGAAACUGGCU